rnacentral:lncRNA from 1 species
GAAUCCUCGAGUAAGGAUCCUUUCUGUUCACAAUCAGUGCAGACCUUUUGUUUGGGUUUAAACUUAAACUUUGGGCUCAAAAGGGAGUUGGCCCAAAAAGAGGAGAGAAGCCCGAAGUCCAGCCUAAGCCCAGAAGGCAGAAAAGGCUUUUCCUGACUAGGUGCAGAGCAUUUGCACCACUUGCUCACCUGCUUAGAGACCAAGUGGUAUAGACCAGCCAGCUAAUCAGCCCAAAAGUACUUUACAGUGGCAGUACAAGUAGAUAGCUCAUGAGUCAUUACCCUUCAAGCUGCAUUCGGGCAAGAUUAUUGCUACAGAAGGCCAAACCGAAGUGUCUAUAAAAGAAGAAAGAGAAAUCAGAGAUAAGGACACUCAAUCAAACAAACAAAUACAAGCACAAACUCUGCUCAAAGCCAGAUUUGCCUUCAAACGAAGCUGUAGUCAGCCCAAGCCUUCAUCCCUUUCGGGAAACCCUUACCAAAAGCCUUUGUAAUAGCUCUGCUACCUUGUCCUAAGCUUGCUGUAGUAUCAAUUUUUUUUCUGUAAACUCAUCUCCCUACCCCCAUUUCUAAAAGCUCGCAAACCAUUUGAUAAACCACAAAGAUAGGAAGUUGCAAGACGAUCAGCCUUACCCGACAAGGUUAAACCUUGCCCGACCUUUUUUGCUUUUGUCUUUUCAUUCAUUGGCCUAGCAAUAUGUUGUAUACUUCAAGUUGUAUUCAAGUUAUUUCUAGUAAGAUGAUUAUUAAAAGACUCUCUCAGCUCUUGAAUCCGAUUUGAAUAUGUCUUCAUAGUUCAAACCAGAUCUAAGUUCUAAGCUCUCGGGCAUGUAAGAUUGAUCAUUUAAAAGUCCUUGGCCUCAAGGCAUAAAAAAGAACGUUAUGUGGAUUUAACCCAUCCAUGACAAGCUUUGAUAACAAGAAGUUCGAAGUUACUUGGGGCGCAAGUAAUCAAUCUAUUUCUUAUUUUAUUUCUAUUAUAUUAUGAUUAUAGUAAAACGUUUGAGUAUAGAAGGGAUUUUGAUGGGAAGCCUCAAGGCCUAUAUCUAAGGCCCUGCAAAGGCACCUAUUUGGAUUCAUUCUGCUCUGCGGGCUCGAAUAAUCAGAAGUAUAAUGGUUAUAACACUUCUGCAGACAACAAAACAGACAUCGUAUAUUCGAGUACUGGGUUAGUUCUUGAUCGGAAGCCUUAAGGCCUACACCUAAGGCCUCACAAAGGCACCGGUCAUAACUAACAUGGUCUCUCGGGUAUAUGUGCAACUAAAAUUCAACAUCCAUUUUACAUCUUCCAUGCUAAAGAUGGCAGUGGCACGCUUGAGCACUUAAAAGUUAAUUUUGGUGUGAGCCUCAAGGCCUACACCUAAGGAACCACAAAGGCACCUUUCAAAGUUAACUUUGUCCUUCUCUUUCAGCCUUGCCCGACUAGCCUUGCCCGACAAGCCCGCUAGUGAAGCAGAAGCCCGACAGAAAGCAUCUAUCAGCACCAACCUCUCGGGGAGCUGUGUGCUCGUCAGCUAGGAAACAUCCCCGACCGAAAUUCUAGCGGCCAAACAUAGUUUUGGCACGCCCAGUGAGACACAUUUGAUCAAAAGAGAUAUGUCAAAACGAUCAGAAGAUUUGCAAACUGAUUUGUUGCAAAUGCUACAAAGACUGGAGAACGCCUCUGCAGGCUCCAGAAAGAAAGCUGACCCGGUUAUAAGACCAAUUAUUCCUAUAUCUUUACCUCAGCUUGGGGAAAAAAGAUGAUAGGGAGAAAAGGGGAUUUAAAACCAACCAGCCAGUGGGAGCAGUGAUGGAUAAACCUACGGAUCCCUUCUCAGAGGCCCCAAUACAUAUGAUCAGUAUGGCCUGGGCUGAGAAGGGGAAAGAAAAGGUCACAAGGGAAGAAGAAAGAAGAUUGGUUGACAAACCCACAAAAAGGGUGGUCAACUUGCCUGAAUAACCAAGAGCAGCCAUAAUCAAAGGGAUGGUUAUGUGCAGUAAGUGCCAAUGCGAGUGUGAGCUCGAAAUACCGCCCACAGGAGCCCUCAUAGAUCAUGAACUGAUCAGGAGGAAUGAAGAAGAAAAAAGAAAAGAGGCACAUGAGAGAGCUAGGCGGACUGCAGGAAGGGAUACCUCCCGAAGUGUUUUUCAGCGGUUAGGAAGCGAUUCCCAACCUAGGGCUUUAUCAAAGAUAUUUCGCAAUCAUGAAGUGCCUAAGGAGGCAGAAGAUAAAGAUGCCAAGAAGCCGAAAGAGAGGGGUGUAGAGCACUCUCAGUACGGCCAUAUGGGAAGAGAGGUCAGGAGGAAUGAUAGGAUAACAAAUCCUGUCAAAAAAGAUAACCCUGCCCACAUCGGGUGAAAAUGGUACGUGGUUGGGAAAAAUGGACAGCCCGUUAAACAAAUGGGAGCCUCCAUGGUCAGAAGGGUUCAAAGGCAACAAAAAGCCUACAUGAACUCCUUAAAAACCCUUGCGACGUCGCAAGCACCCAAGAAUCAAAAGUUGGAGAAAACGUCAUCUGGGGGGAGUAGUCAACUCCGCUGGAGGAGUAAAAAAGAGGUGGAAAAGGCUAAUAGCAAGACUGAAGGCGAGGGAAACCAUGUGCCACAAAGCCUACACCCUGGGAAAUAUAGGAUCUUGAGGAAAGCUUAAGAAGAUAUGAUCAUGGUGUCAACUCCCGGAUGGAAGACAGAGCAGCCUAUUUGUUUUGGAACUGUUUCACUUUUAAUAAAACCACCUUCUCUAUCAUUAGUGGAUCUUUUCGGGGAAGUUCCAAAGCAAACACCGUAUUCAGGCGUGAAUCAACAAGAGGGGGCACCAGAACCACUGCUUCCAGCAGAUGCGAUGGCUUGGUUAGAUGAGUUCAUGGACCAGAUUGGGAGCAAGAAAGAAGAACUACCAGAGCCUAGCAAUUUUCAUAUCAACAUGGCGUAUGUGCUAUCCGCCAUGUUUGGUGCCAGACCUAAUCAGCCCGCCACUAUGGAAGGAGACUACGUAACAACUGAGCCAAUGAUGGCCCAUGUCAAUGUGGAGAUAGCUGAAGAGGGAAAAUCGGGAAAAGCUGAAUCAUCUGAAGCAUCCAAGGAUGGUCCUUUAAGGAUCUAUACAAACAAGAUGGUGUUCAGCCGCCCGAACAUUUCGCUUACCAAUCAUCUGAAGCCCAUAUAUGUUACAGCUCAUUUGGAGGGGGUGCCCUUCAAAAGGAUUUUAAUUGAUGGAGGAGCAGCUGUUAAUGUACUACCAACCAAGCAAAUGAAAAAGUUGAGGAGAGGCACAGAGGAUCUUAUUCCUACAGACCUCACGGUUUCUAGCUUCUCGGGCGUUAUCACCAAGACUUAUGGGAUAUUGCCUUUAGAAGUGGAUUUGGGGUCUAAACAGAUCAUGCUGGCAUUCUUUGUGGUGGACUGCACUUCCACCUAUGGAGCCUUACUCGGAAGAGAUUGGAUCCACCAAAGUCUUGCCAUACCCUCCACUCUACAUCAAUAAGUGGUUGUUUAUCAUGAGGCUGACGCAGAAUGACCAGGCUUUUGGGAGAUGGUAGAGGCCGAAUCACGGCCAUUUCUUCCCACAGCCAAUGUUGCUGAAGCGAGUUUCUACAGUCCUAACGUAGGAAUUUUGAAAUGUUCAGGAGCAGAUGAGAACGGCCGCCCUACCAAGGUGACGGCCCAAAAGCUUCUAGAACAAGGAAUGCUCCUUACUAGAGAGGAGUGGGAUAGACCUUGUAUCAUCCCAACACCCCUACACCAUCAAUGACAGAACAAAAGAGGAAGGAUCAGGUAAUGGCAGUCAGGUCCCUGAUCAAAAGACUGUUGGUGUAUGGGAAAGGAAGAAGGCAAGAAAGGGAGCUCUUAGACAGAGAAGAGCAGGAAUGGCAGGUAGGAGCUUUGACCAGCCAGGAUGAAAGCAAGGAGGAAUCUUGUCAAGAAGAAUUGGAAAGGGCCAUUCAAAUGGCCGAGUGCAUAUAUGACCUAGAUGGGCCAGACGACCUGCCCGAGAGCCCGGAGCUAGUCGAAUUUUUGUGUGCAGAACCUGAUAAGCCACCACCAGAGGUAUAAGAUCCUCUGGAAGUUAUUGAUCUAGGGACAGAGGAAGAUCCAAGACCAAUACAAAUUAGUGGUUUAUUGGAGAUUGAUGAUCGGGUAAAAAUUAUCUGUCUUUUGCAAGAAUUCAAAGAUUGUUUUGCAUGGCAUUAUACUGAGAUGCUAGGUUUAGAUGCAACCUUAGUGGAACACAGAAUGCCCAUCAAUGAGGGAUAUAAACCUGUUAAGCAAGCACCACGAAGGAUGUCGAAGGAGAUAGAAGAGAAGGUCAAAGAAGAGAUUGAGAGGCUAGUAAAAGCUGGAUUUAUCAGGCUAGCCAAAUAUGUGGAGUGGUUAGCCAACAUUGUACCCGUUUUAAAGGCCAUAAGAAAAGCAGUACGAUGUUGUGUUGAUUACAAAAAUAUUAAUGGCGCUACACCGAAAGAUGAGUAUCCCAUGCCCAUGGCAGAUCUAUCCAUAGAUGCAGUAGCAAAGCACAAAGUCUUAUCUUUUAUGGAUGGAAAUGUCAGGUAUAAUCAGAUAAAGAUGGCUCCAGAGGAUAUACAUAAAAUAGCUUUUAAGUGUCCGGGGCAUGUGGGGGCAUAUGAAUAUCUGGUCAUGCUAUUCGGGCUCAAGAAUGCUAGUGUGACCUACCAAAGGGCAAUGAAUGCCAUCUUUCAUGAUCUGAUUGGCCAUAAUAUAGAGGUGUAUAUUGAUGACAUCAUGGUGAAAUCUAAGACAGAAGAGCAGCAUCUGAUAGACCUCAAGCAAGCAUCGACAAGAAUGAAGAUCCACAAAUUGAAUAUGAAUCCAAAGAAGUGCGCGUUUGGAGUGAGAACGGGCAACUUCUUGGGAUUCCUGGUUCAUCAAAGAGGUGUAGAAGUGGAUAAGAACAAAUCGCGGGCAAUAAUGGAGUCGCCUUCACCCACCAACAAGGUGCAACUCCAAAGGCUGCUAGGCAAAAUUAAUUUCUUGAAAAGAUUCAUUGCCAAUUUAGCGGGCAAGAUCCAGCUGCUAACUCAUUUGCUAAGACUGAAGGAUAAGGAGAAUUUCGAGUGGGGACCACCACACCAAAAGGCUUUCGAUAGUAUCAAAGCUUAUUUGACUUCUCCGCCAGUGUUGGUACCACCUCAAAAGGGAAAACCCUUAAGGCUAUAUAUCUCCGCUUCAGAUAAAUCAAUUGGGAGUUUGCUAGCUCAAAAUAAUGAAGGCGGGAAAGAGCAGGCAGUGUACUACCUCAGUAGAAUUCUGACCGAGGUAGAAACAAGAUAUUCCCCAGUAGAGAGAUUGUGCUUAGCUCUAUAUUUUACUGCCAAUAAGCUGAGGCAUUACAUGUUACCUUGUCACGUGCACAUUAUCGCCAAGACAGAUGUGAUAAAGUACAUGUUAUCAAAGCCAAUGCUAACAGGAAGGAUUGGGAAAUGGAUUCAAGCAUUAUCAGAAUUCAGCUUUCAAUAUGUACCCCAAAGGGUAGUCAAAGGCCAAGCAAUUGCUGACUUCUUGGCGGAGCAUCAAGAGUCUCAAGAUGAGAUAAUCAAUAUCCCGGGAACCCUGGAAGUUACUAGUGUUUGGAUCCCACCAAGCAAAGGUAUCUCGGGCAAAGAGGAGUGGGUCUAGCAAGAGAUAAAAAGAGUGGCUGGUCUAUAGAUUACUCAUUGGAAGCUAUAUUUUGAUGGUUUCUACACUCAUAAGGCUUCAGGAGCUGGGAUUGUAAUUAUCAACCCUCAAAGGGUUUAUCAUUAUUACUCAUUUCUCUUAGAUUACCAAGGGAAUACCAAUAAUCGGGCAGAGUAUGAGGCCUUAAUAAUCGGUUUGGAAAUCUUGAUGGAUCAGGGGGCAAUGGAGGUAGAGGUGUUUGGUGAUUCAGAAUUGGUAAUAAACCAGCUAAAUGGGGAAUUCAAGUGCAGACAUAUCACCAUGGCCGGGUAUUACUUGGCGGCCACGCAAUUGCUGAGUUAUUGGGAUUCUGAGAUAUCAGUUAGUCAUGUUCCCAGAGGAUCCAACCUAGCGGCCAACGAGAUGGCACAAUUAACUUCAAGCAUGCUAAUACAGGAAAGAAAAUAUGGGUUGGAUGUCGAGAUUCAAAGAAGAAACCUUUCUUCUAUCCUGGAAAAAGGAUUUAGUCUGGAUGUAAUGGUUCUAGAAACGGAGAUGGAAGAUUGGAGGUCGCCCAUUAUUCAUUAUUUAAGGGAUCCCUAUUCACCCACAAGCAAGAAGGAUAAACAGCAAGCAACUAAGUAUGUCUUAUGGGCGAAGGACCUGCUAAGGAAAACUCCAGACGGAUUAUUAUUGAAAUGCUUAGGCCAAGAGGAAUCUAUGAGAGUAAUGGCCGAAGUACAUGAAGGAAUUUACGAAGCACAUCAGGCUAGAACGAAGAUGAGGUGGUUGCUUAGAAGGUAUGGUUAUUUCUGGCCCAAUAUGGAAAAAGAUUGCAAGUCUUAUGCCCGAGGCUGUGAAGAAUGUCAGAGCAUGGUCAUCUCCAGCAUGUGCCCUCAGUGCCUUUAAAUCCAGUGGUCAAGCCUUGGCCCUUCAGAGGAUGGGCAAUGGAUUUCAUCGGGUAGAUCUAUCUGGCUUCUAGCAAGGGGCAUACUUUCAUGAUUGUAGCAACGGAUUACUUCACCAAAUGGGUAGAGGCCUCGGCUGUAAAAUCCAUAACCUCAGCUGCAGUCAAAAUUUUUAUUGAGACUAAGAUUCUGUAUAGAUUUGGGGUGCCUGAAACCAUAGUAACGGAUCGAGGGCCAUCUUUUAUUUCAAAAGAAGUUGAAGAGUUUGCAAGCAAAUACAAAAUAAAGAUGAUCCAGUCCAGUCCUUACUACCCGCAGUCAAAUGGCCAGGAAGAAUCCAGCAACAAGAUUUUGGUAAACAUUAUCAAAAGAAUGGUGAUAGAUAGUCAAGAAAAGUGGCAUGAAAAGCUGGGGAAUACUUUGUGGGCAUACAGAACUUCCAAGAGGGUAGGAACAGGGACAACGCCUUAUGCGUUAACCUUCGGGCAAGAUGCAGUGCUUCCCAUGGAGAUCAAUGUAAGUUCUGUCAGAAUUCAAAAUCAGUUUGGGUUACACAGUGAAGAGUAUAUCGAAGCCAUGUGUCAAGGGAUUGAAGACUUAGAUGUAGCCCGAAUUGAAGCCUUGAACCAGAUUCAGGAAGGGAAGAAAGCUGUUGCCUGAGCUUAUAACAAAAAGGUGAAGAUAAAGUCUUUCAAUGAAGGAGAUUUGGUGUGGAAAAUAGUCCUUCCUCUAGGAGCUCAGCUUAGGGGCUUUGGAAAAUGGAGCCCGACAUGGGAAGGCCCUUUCAUGAUUAGACAAAGGAGGAUACUACUUGGCGGACCUCGAAGGGAAUUGGCAGAAACAUCCCAUUAAUGUUAAAUUCUUGAAAAAGUAUUGUCCUACGUUAUGGGAUGUUAGAGAUUGUUAUAUUGAAGAAGACACAAAGUAAUGUUUAUUUCAUUUCGACAAAUUGGUGAAAUUUACAACAGAUUCAAUUCUGAUGUGCUACGUUCGAUUCCUUCCAAGUGCAAUGGUGUCUCAGCUGGUUUUCCGAUAUCUUCAUGGAUAGAAUCCGAUCAGGUGAUCGGGUUGUGCCGCCAAGAUGAGCUUGGUAGAGGAUCCUCAGGCAGAGUCAUCACUAUACAUGAUGGUGAAGCCUGACUUACCAUAACAGCAAGCAGGAAGACCAGCCUUUAUGAGGAAACCGCCUGACUAAGGGUGUUGGGGAUAGCGGGGUGUUUGACCAAAUGUGUUGGAGAUAGUAGUUAUCUGAUAAAAACUCUUUUUCUUACGAAAAUGGAGUUUUAGAAAACCCCACUUGAAUCCUGAAGAGCUCAUUUUACAGUUUUGGGAAGAAUACUAAGGAAGCAGAAGUACUCAAGGUUAAUAAAAGCGAAGGCUGAAGUAGGUUUGUUGGCUGAACAGAAGCAAUUUCAAGCCUGAAUUUAUAGAAACCACAGAGGAUAGCCCAAAGGUCAUGAGAAGAGCAAGAGACGCAGAAUUGUAGUCAUCCUGUCUAGAAAACACAAGUUCCAAAAGUAGGUAUACAAGCAUGCGGAUAUUCAAUCAAUAUUGGCGCCUGGAAUUCCAGUCUGAAUAUUGAUUGAAGGGGGCACUGUUUGGGUUUAAACUUAAACUUUGGGCUCAAAAGGGAGUUGGCCCAAAAAGAGGAGAGAAGCUCGAAGUCCAGCCCAAGCCCAGAAGGCAGAAAAGGCUUUUCCCGACUAGGUGCAGAGCAUUUACACCACUUGCUCACCUGCUUAGAGACCAAGUGGUAUAGACCAGCCAGCUAAUAAACCCAAAAGUACUUUACAGUGGCAGUACAAGUAAAUAGCUGAUGAGUCAUUACCCUUCAAGCUGCAUUCGGGCAAGAUUAUUGCUACAGGAGGCCAAACCGAAGUGUCUAUAAAAGAAAGAGAAAUCAGAGAUAAGGACAUUCAAUCAAACAAACAAAUUCAAGCACAAACUCUGCUCAAAGCCAGAUUUGCCUUCAAACGAAGUUGUAGUCAGCCCAAACCUUCAUCCCUUUCGGGAAACCCUUACCAAAAGCCUUUGUAAUAGCUCUGGUACCUUGUCCUAAGCUUGCUAUAGUAUCGAUUUCUUUCUGUAAACUCAUCUCCCUACCCCCUUUUCUAAAAGCUCUCAAACCCCUUGAUAAACCACAAAGAUAGGAAGUUGUAAGACGAUCAGCCUUGCCCGACAAGGUUAAACCUUGCCCAACCCUUUUUAUUUUUGUGUUUUCAUUCAUUAGCCUAGCAAUAUGUUGUAUACUUCAAGUUGUAUUCAAGUUAUUUCUAGUAAGAUGACUAUUAAAAGACUCUCAGCUCUUGAAUCCAAUUUGAAUAUGUCUUCAUAGUUUAAACCAGAUCUAAGUUCUAUGCUCUCAGGCAUGUAAGAUUGAUCAUUUAAAAGUCCUUAGCCUCAAGGCAUAAAAAAUAACCUUAUGUGGACUUAACCCAUCCACGACAAGCUUUGAUAACAAGAAGUCCGAAGUUACUUGGGGCGCAAGUAAUCGAUCUAUUUCUUAGUUUUAUUUCUAUUAUAUUAUGAUUAUAGUAGAACGUUUGAGUAUAGAAGGGAUUCUGAUGGGAAGCCUCAAGGCCUAUAUCUAAGUCCCUACAAAGGCACCUAUUUGGGUUCAUUCUGCUCUGCGGGCUCGAAUAAUCAGAAGUAUAAUGGUUAUAACACUUCUGCAGACAACAAAACAGACAUCGUAUAUUCGAGUACUGGGUUAGUUCUUGAUCG